AUGUCAUCGUCUCCUUUGUCCAUAGCUGAUUCCGAGCUUUCAGGCUCCUCCUCAUGCCAGCUUGUCUGUCUCCAGGAGACUAAGUUGGAUUGUGUCGACAGAUUUACGGCUACCUUCCUUGGGGGAAAUAGGUUGUGAAAUUUCGCGCAGCGUCCAGCUUUGGGGACAAGGGGUGGGAUGCUCCUGCUUUGGGAUGAUGUUGUUUUGAAGGUCACUGACAUAACAACCUCAGCAUUUUGCCUCUCGGCCUUGGUCCGAAUUCACGAGAAUGACAUAUGUUUCAGGAUUACAAAUGUCUAUGGGCCCACAGAGCAUGCAUCCAAGGAUGCUUUUUUUGACGAGCUUCGUUCCAGCAAGCCCCUCGCGGGUGUGGCCUGGCUCGCUCUUGGGGAUUUUAACCAAAUCUAUCGGGCGAGGGACAAAAACAAACGAAACGUUAAUUGGUAUUAGAUCAACCGGUUUCAUGCUGCUCUGCAUGAUUGUCAGCUUAAGGAAAUUCAUCUUCAGAAUAGACUGUUCACGUGAAGCAAUGAGAGAGAAAACUCAACUCUCUGCAAGUUAGACUCUUUCUUCUGUAGCAUGAAGUGGGACACCUCCUUCAACACACAUGUGUUGAAUGCUUUAUCAUCCCCCCUAUCCGAUCAUUGUCCUCUCCUGCUUGCCGACGACAAGGGCCCUAGGCGGCCACGGGCUUUCAAGUUCGAGAAUUUUUUGAUAUUGCCCGUAUUCAAGGAGGUGGUCAAAAAUGCUUGGGACGAGCGGGUGUGUCACACCGAGCCUUACCAGAUUUUGCAUCUCAAGCUUAAGAAAAUUGUGCUUCGGCUUAUCGAAUGGAGCAAGAAUCUGUUCUCCAAGGCAUGGAUUCAACUUAAUGCUGCCCACCUUGUGAUCCUUCAGCUUGACAUUGCACAGGACGGGAGACAGUUAUCACUGGAGGAGCGGGACCUUAGCUCUAGGCUCAAAUGCAGAGUCAUCAUUCUGGCAGUGCUAGAGAGGGCUCGAAAGAGCCAGUGUGCUAGGAUUGCAAAUUUGAGAGAUGGUGAUCCUAAUACCAAAUUCUUCCACUGGCACAUCAACGCCCGUAGGAGAAAAACCCACAUCCAUCGGAUCAAGCACGAGCAGGGGUGGGUAACCGAGCACGAGGAAAAGGAGAAGAUCAUACACGAUCACUUCCGUGAGGUGAUGGGUAGUGGUUGCACGAGCAACAAGGACUUCAAUUGGGGGGAGAUCAAUAUCGAGCACUGA
rnacentral:rRNA from 1 species